rnacentral:lncRNA from 1 species
GAUCCCUUUGUCAAUCAAGUAGUAAGUGCAGUGUCUCAGAAGGUUGGAACGAAGUUCACUUCAUCACAGGGACGAAUCUAGGAUAACAGGAACAGAGGGGAUUAUGCUGACGGAAACGUCUGUCAUCUGGUUCAACUAGUUAGUGUAAGUAGAUUUUGAAUGUAGUGAUAAUAAUAAUAAUAUCAAAAUUUAACAAUCUUGUCUUUACGAAAAAAACUAAUUACUUUGAAAUAUCUUUUUUCAAAAUUGUAGAUUACGAGGAAUAAAUUGACGGGGUAUAAAUCAUUUUACGGAACUUGACUUUCCUUGUUAUUUUAACACCUAAUCUUAUUUACAUAGCUAUAUAGAUUCAUAUGGACACAAAAUUUCCAGGGAGGUUGCACUGUAUAUAUACAGAAGAUUUCAUUCAAAGAGAGGAGAAAUUAUACAGAGGUGAAUGUAGUAGGAUCCGAUGGGGCUGAAAAAAGGAACGCCUCCAAUAAUAUACAACUCUUGCUAAUGUUAAAUAUUUGAUUUGAUUCAGGUCAGACAGCAAUGGAUGCCCAACACUUUACCAGCGGAACUGCAAUCACGAACCCAAAGUCUUGUGUAAGGGAAAGCACUAUGCACAAGUAAUAUAAUAAUACCUUACGAACUUUGAAAGUUAUAAUAUAUCAAAAUCAAGCUUCAUAUAACUUACGAACUUCUUCUUUUUCUUUUUGUCAAUUUGAGUUUGAAGCUCUACUUGUCGGGUAAAGGCAUCGUCAAGUGACUACAGCAAACAGAAAAAAGAGUUACAGAAAUAUAAGAUUCUUUGUUAUCAUAUAUCAAUAUUUUUCUCAAAUGAUGAUGAUGUUGUAGUAAGAAGGAAAAGCAACAGUACU